CAGAGCCUCCCGAGUAUUGAAUCUUUCCAUUCAGACAAUAGCAACUGCGAUUCUACCCAUAGCAAGAUCUGGAAGUCAGGAAAAAAUGAUUUACAACUUGAUCUGUGUUGAAUAAUUUUGAUUGUAGUGGGAGAACUGACCAGGACCUAAGAGGAAAGGUACCACAAAGACUUCCAGAGUACAUUAACUGUUUAACAUGAAGCUACCAGAUUGACAAUAGAUAUUGACAAGAGACUGGAUUUUUCCACCGAGGGACUGGGAAUGCACUUAUCUCAGUGCAGAGUAAUGCGCGUGUGGGCCAAAGGUGUACACAGCCAAUCCAAGAAACACAAUAGAAUAAAUGAAAGACUAUACCUGAGAGAACAGAGAAACAAGCAAUCUGCAAACAACAACAAACUGUGCAAGUACGAAAGAGAAGAAAAAAAGCCUUACAUUUUGAGAACAUGAGAUGAUGAGAUUUUGAAAUCGAUUCCAUAGGUUGUGGGAACAUUUCAAUGAUGGGCAAAAGAAGUUGAGUGAAGCCUUUGGUUCAAGAGCCUGAUGGUUAAAGUGUAAUAACUGUUCCUGGACCUGGUGGUGUGGAUCAUGAGGCUCCUGUACAUUCUUCUUGAUGGCAGAGCAAGAGGAGACCACGGCCGGGGUGGUGGGUGUCUUUAAUGAUAGAUACUGGUUUCCUGUGACAACGCUCCAUGUAGAUGUGCUCAAGGGUGGGGAGGGCUUUACCAGUGAUGAACUGGGCCAUAGCCACUACUUUUUGUAGAAUUUUCCAUUCAAGGGCAUUGGUGUGUCCAUACCAGGCUGUGAUGCAAACAGUCAAUAAACUCUC